AAGUGGCUGCACGGCCCUGCUCGGUCUUUCGCUGCUGGGACGGAGUGAGUCUUUAUAUGUACAGAUGUUGCCACUAACGUUGCUGUACCAAACCCUUGUAUGCAGGAUGUUCCAGCAGACCAGGUGCUGCAAUGGAUAUUGGUACAGAGAGAGACAAUGUGGAUAACUGGAACAAUGUUUUGCGGAUUUUAAUUGAAAUUGGUGUGCAUUGAAAGAAUCUUAGAAAGGACCAGCUUAAAGAGGUGGUUGUGGAGAAUGAAGUGCCAUUAAGGCUUUAGAGAAACCGGAGCGAUGUUUAAUUGUCAUUAAUCAGCUGGAGAGUUGUCUCUAAUGACACCAUAAUGCAAUUAUCACUACAACAGCAUUUUACUGUAAAUUUUGAAAAGUGAAACUUUGCAAACAUUACUUUGUAUAAAUAUGCGCUUCAGUAGUAAAAAGUUUAUAUUUUCUAAAGAUUGUAUGCUUUAACUUAAAUUGCCUAAUAAAUACUCAUUAAGCUAAA